rnacentral:snRNA from 1 species
GUGCUCGCUUCCACAGCACACAUACUAAAAUUGGACCAACACAAAGAAGAUUAGCAUGCAAAUUCAUGAAGUGUUCCAUAUUUAA